GCAAGGCUCGGGUGUGUGGCUGGCGAGGCGGAGCUGUCGGUUUCUUUGCGGCCUUACCGAUGCCUGCCCCGUGAGGAGCUAUUGAUGCUGGGCGGUGCUGGUCCCUCCUCACCUACUGGGUGAAAGGCAGCUGUGGCAGGGACUUGAAUCGCUAUGCCCAGUUCGCCUGGGGUGGUUAUUUUCCCCCUUUCUUUCGGUAGAGUCACAUCUUGGGUCCCGUGCAUGGUUCUGGGCCUUUAAUUUCAGGAGCGACUUGGAAGGGCUGGAGUGGGCCCAGAGAAGGGCAGCGAAGCUGAUGAGGGGUCUGGAACACGAGUCCUUUGAGGAGCAGCUGAGGGUGUUUAGCCUGCAGGAAAGGAGGCUAAAGGAUGGCUUUGCCACUCUGCACAGCUCCCUGACAGAAAGUUAUAGCCAGGUGGGGAAUCGGCCUCUGCUGCCUGGUAACUAGUGAUGGGGUGAGAGGAUGUAGUCUUAAAUUGUUCUAUGUUGGACAUUAGGAAAAACUUCUAUACAGCAGGCGUGAUCAGACACUGGAAUGGGCUGUCCAGGGAAGUGUGGAGUCACUGUCCCUGGAGGUGUUCAAGGAAAGGCUGACUGUGGCACUCAGUGCCCUGGUCUGGCUGACAUCAGGGAGUUUGGUCAUAGGUUGGAUUUAAUUAACUCAGCCCUUGUACAACCUGCUUGAGUCAGGUAAGAGAGGGCAGUGGUACCAAAGUGUCAAAUAAAAAGUUUCUCUAUGGGCCUGUUCUAGUACAGCAGAUGAGCUCUGCUACUAGCAGGCACUGUGCUGUGCUGUUGGGGCUGGAGAAAGCUGAAGGGCUCACAGGCAGCACAAGGCAGGGGCUGGAAGGGUUUGGAGUCACUGACAGCAUCUCCUGAACAUGUGUGUGGUGAGCUUAGUGGCAAGGAUUGUCCUCAUCCCAGGAUGCAGAGCCCUGUGGUUGAUGCACUGGAGGAAGGGUACUACUUCAUCAUUGUUUCCUUCCUUGCCCACCUGAGAAGGUUCAACAUUUCUAACUAGCCUCAGGGGACCUGGGGGGCCAUCACUGCAAAGGGAAUGUGUGCAAGGAGAGGGUUGAUGACAAACAGCUUCUGCUGUCUCUCAGGGUUCCCUUGUGAACAGGCACAGCAGCCUUUAGCUGGCACUUGGGAAUGGCCUGUUUAACCUGGGCACUGUAAGAGAAACUGGUGCUGUGCUGGUUCUGAUGCAUGAUCAGUGUUUCUCCCCAUUCCCUCAUUUGACAGCAUUUGCAUUUCCAGCUAACUUUAGCCUGACCUUUUCAUGGACUACUCUGGUGCCUGUAGAGGAAGGGUUCUGCUUAGCCCCUCUCAGUAAGCAAAUCCCUGAGACUGGCUUGUUCUGUAAAGCAUUGCAAGGAAGGUGACUUUUUCUUAUCAAGCAGACAUUUGAUCCUACCUGGUAAAUGGUUUGUAUAGCUUGGUACCAGUUCUUGAUGGAUGACUGACAGUGUGCACAAUCAGAGGCCCAUGAUAGUUUAUUCUGUGGCUGACCAGUACACCUUCACCUCUGAUGCUGAGACAGAGGUUCAUUUGCCUGAAGUCCAUAGGGAAAUGACCUGUGGUUUGGACACCGGGUUGGUUGGGCUUGAACCAGAAGUCAGUUAUUUCUAGGCCAUAGGUUCUUUUCAUAAUUGUUUUUUAUUACUGUUUGAUAGAGAUCCUUGUCACCUACUGUUUCUUUUUCAUGAUCCAUUGGGGAAUUUGGCCUUUGUGUACAAAACACUGUCAGGUGUUUUGAUCACUGUCUGUGCUUCUCCUAGUAGUAGCUUGUAGCCCAAAGGAGAGUACUCACUGAAUUUGGAUGGGUCUGUGGCCUCAGGUCCUUCUCUGUCAGGUGGGCACUGUUCGGGCAUGAUGUUAAUGAAUGUACUUCAGGAGCUGACUGUUACCAAUUUGGUGAGUAGGCAGCUUUUAGUGGAUUCAAAACUGAUAUUAAUCAAGGUAGCCAACAAGCUCUACUGCCAGCAAUGACAAUCCUCAGUCUAUCUGUAAACCACAGCUUCCAAAGGUAUCUAUAGUAUGAACUUGCCACCUUCUCUUGUCUUGUGUGUAUUAUUGUUCAAACAGUCUUCAUCCUGGCAUUCAUGAUGGCCAAAACCCCAAUAAGUUUUCUGCAUCCAGGGUGAGGAGGUGCUGCGGAAGUACAGCUCUUCUCACGUAACAUGUGGGGACUUUGUUUAUGAGUUAAAGCAAUGUAUUCUGAAAUGAUUAGUUUGGUCAUAAACAUAAGCCCUUCCCUCUCUCCUUUCCUUUCAAUUUAUUUUUUGCCAAGAUAAGGGCCCAUACAGGGGAAAAAAUUGUUUAUUAACUGAAUGCUAUGAGCAGCUAAAACACCUCAUAAUAUCUUUUGCAGAGAUUUUUAUUGCAGAGAUACCUUUUGCAAUCAAUUCCACUUAAGUCAGACAGUCUUUCAACUGUAUUUACAGCUGUCAGGAAAAAAAAACCAAACCAUGAACUGAGAAGAAAUAAUAGGAAGCAGUAGCUGGUGGUAGUUUGCAGCUGGGCCCACGGGUGUUUGACAUGUUACUGUCAUGACAGCCCUGAUGGAAGGGAGAAUUCCUGUUGUGACAAACAAUGUUCGCUUUUAAAAAUUUUAAUGGCUUAUUAAAAACCUUAACGAAGGACCGAAUAAGGAAAAAAAACCAGCGCGCUUGAAAUUAGUGACAGCAGCCACAAGCUCAUUUACAAAAUGGCUGCUCCACCUUUUAUAGUCCUGGGGGGCGCCUCGGGCAGCCCUGGCCCCUCCCAGUGCCUGUCAGUCAACUCUUCCUCGCCGCUCAUUGGUGGAGGCUACUUUCUUGCAAUGUGAUUGGUGGCCAGGUGUUGCUGUGCCACGCCCCCGUGCCGGCCUUGCCCAGCCCAGUUGCCCCAGCCUCGGGCCCGCGUGCGCGCGCUCCCUCACGGUCCCGGCUACCAAAGCUCGCCCUGAGCAACCCUGCGGGGAAAAGGGACUGUGGGGAGAACAGGGGACAUCCAAACAACAAAUCACAAUAAUGUAACCGUACAUCAAUAAAGCUGCUCUUAACAUACGCACAGUAUUCAUCCCUUAAUUGUGGGAGCCAACCAUCGCACUGCCCAUCUAUAACACUAUGCUCUGGAUAGGAUUUU